rnacentral:rRNA from 1 species
CGCGUAGGUAUCUAUCCACGGGUGGGGAGUAACGUCGGGAAACGUAGACGCUAAUACCGCAUGACAUCUGAGGAUCAAAGGCGCGAGUCGCCUGUGGAGGAGCCUGCGUACGAUUAGCUAGUUGGUGGGGUAAAGGCCUACCAAGGCGACGAUCGUUAGCUGGUCUGAGAGGAUGAUCAGCCACACUGGGACUGAGACACGGCCCAGACUCCUACGGGAGGCAGCAGUGGGGAAUAUUGGACAAUGGGCGAAAGCCUGAUCCAGCAAUGCCGCGUGUGUGAAGAAGGUCUUCGGAUUGUA